AACGCAAAUUGCACUCUCUGGCAACCCGGGGAGUAUGCCUGUUUGAGGGUCAGUGUUUAUAAAAAUCGGGUGCGUUGCAAUUUUUGUGACGUUUCCGGAGUUUGAGUUAUCUUAAUUAACUUCGGUUUUUAAGAGGCUUAAAAUUGACCUUUUUUUGUGCAUUUUAGACGUGCAUAAAUUUUUUUUUAUUCGUCCAUCCUAAUGCCAAAAUCUAUUAGAUGCGACCAUAUCUGGUGGUUUCGUGUCUAUAAAUUUUUCAUGAUUUUGACCUCAAAUCAGGUAGGAACACCCGCUGAACUUAA
rnacentral:misc_RNA from 1 species